CUUGCCUCGAGGCAAAAAAAAACUCGGAUCUUUCCUCUCUUUUCAUCAAAUAGGAAGGGGCCAACGAAAUGAGAAAAGAGCAGUAAGGCGCGCACAAAUUGCAUUUGGUUUGGUGUUCGUAGCAUCCGCAUCACAUACGCAUACACCGAAUUUCGCUUCUACUGCUCCGCAUCCGAACAAAUUUAAAAGGGUGUACGCCCUGCCGGCAACGGAAAGAGGCGGACUUGUGACACAGAUGCCAUAUGAAACG
ensembl:ncRNA F57C7.12 ncRNA